rnacentral:ncRNA from 1 species
AAUCAGGGGAGCUUCGAUUGAGAAGCUGAGAGUAAGGUAUUCCUUAGACCCUUUGAACCUGUUGGAUAAUGCCAGCGCAGGAAGAUUGA